GGGGGGGGGGGGCGGUUAGCUGCAAUGAGUCCCGCUCAGACUCCUACCUCCGCCUUUACUGAUGAUAGUAGAGGAGAAAAUUUCCACUGCCCUCCUGCUCCUCCCUCUCGUGUGGGAUCGACUGCAAUCACUGGAAGGACAUCACAUUGCCAUGCCGACAGCUCAUAAAGACACGCAUGCAGGAGGUGUGCAAGGCCGGUGGAUCACUUGGCUCUCCCUGCUGCCAAAUGCGAACAACUUUGUUGUUGCUGCUCCUCCCUCUUUCUUACUGUCAACCCUCGCUUCAGGACUUUGGCAGCCUCUUUCUGUGUGUGUGUGUGUGUGUGUCUCUUUGUGCAAACACAGGUAUGUCUGUGUGUGUAUGUAAGACCAUGCCAGUGCCAGGCCAAGUGAUGCAGUGCUCAUUGGAAGCAGGCCCAUUAGGGAGGGAGACAGAACAUGUAGCAGCAGGGAACAACUUCCACUUACAUGGAUUUGAUUAGCCAACUAGGGCACUUGCUGUUAUUUACCUAAUGAUAAAACCAAGAGUUAUCUAUAUGAAAAAGGUUAAAGUAAGCAUGGCAAAACAUGACCUUAAAUUUGAUAUUUGUUUACUGUAAGAGAGUGUUAUAGCUAAGUCAUUAAUAAAGCUCUACAAUUAUGUGUACAUGACAAGCUAAUUCCUGUUUUCCUUUGCACAAUCAAGUCUUCGGAAGAAACUGAGCACUGUC